AAUUCCCAGAAGUACUGAGUAGAGAAAAUAUAGAGAACGAGAGAGCGGAGAGGUUUAACUUGACGAUCCAAAAGAAGGUUUGUACAUACAUGUUUGAUUCCAGACUACCUAAGAGUAUGUGGGAGAUUGGUGUUGAUGCAUCCAUAGAUGUGUACAACAGAACACACAAGUCUAUCAGAUAUCAAACACCAUUGACAAAGUUUGCACCAAAUGCAAAAUGCCACUUUGAUCAAAUUGAGAGAUGUGGAUGUAUUGGAUGUAUUUGUAAGUAUUAUUAUGUAUUGCGAUGUUCGCAUACAUUAAGAUUCCAAAACCCAGCUUGAAAUUUGGAGAAUCCUGAAAGCUGUCCCAGUGAGUUAUACCGUGGAUACUUGAUGUUGCAUUCAAGCUCGAAAAAGUCCUUUGAAUCUCAACAUGUGAGAUUUAACAAGAAACUUGCCUACAAAGACGUUUAUAGAAAUAAACAACUUGAUGACAAUAAAGAAAAAUUACAGACCCAGGAAAAUAUAAUCGACUGGGAUUGGAUGAAAAACUCGAAAGAGCCAAAAUAAGGGAACUGCCGAUCAAAAGGCCAAUACCCUGCUACACUUAAAGAAAAUCGUAAAGGACGUAAAUAUGAGAAAACCGAUAGAGAAGAAGAUAUGAGGUUUUGUCUUAUUUCUUCAUUAAAUCGAGAACCGAUUAAAUUCAAGGAAGCUAUAAAUUCUAGAGAAGGCCACUUAUGGAAGAAAGCUAUAAAAGAAGAAAUUGAUUCCAUGAUACAAAAUAAGGUUUGGAUAUUGGUAGAUAAAGAGUAUCUUCAAAUAUCUGUAAAACAGGCAAACAUUAUAGACUCGAAAUGGUAUUCGAGAGAAAAUUAGAGGCAAAUGGUCUUAUACGAUACAAAGUAAGAUUAGUCAUACGAGGCUUUAAGGUCAAAUAUAUUUAUGACAUUAGACUUCCUGUAAUUAGAGCUACAUUUGCAAUAAUAAAUAAGUAUGAUUUACAUGCUUGUCAAUCAGAA